CGCGCAGGCGGCUAUUUUUGUCAGGCGUGAAGGCCCCGGGCUUAACCUGGGAACUGCGCUUGAGACGGGAUGGCUAGAGAUCGGGAGAGGAGAGUGGAAUUCCCAGUGUAGAGGUGAAAUUCGUAGAUAUUGGGAAGAACACCGGUGGCGAAGGCGGCUCUCUGGACCGACACUGACGCUGAGGCGCGAAAGCGUGGGAGCAAACA
rnacentral:rRNA from 1 species